rnacentral:rRNA from 1 species
ACUCCUACGGGAGGCAGCAGUGAGGAAUAUUGGUCAAUGGGCGCAAGCCUGAACCAGCCAUCCCGCGUGAAGGACGACGGCCCUAUGGGUUGUAAACUUCUUUUGUACGGGAAGCACGUGCGCUAUGUAUAGCGUAUUGACGGUACCGUACGAAUAAGCAUCGGCUAACUCCGUGCCAGCAGCCGCGGUAAUACGGAGGAUGCGAGCGUUAUCCGGAUUCAUUGGGUUUAAAGGGUGCGUAGGCGGCCCGGUAAGUCAGCGGUGAAAGUUUGCGGCUCAACCGUAAAAUUGCCGUUGAUACUGUCGGGCUUGAGUUCAGAUGAAGUGGGCGGAAUGAGUAGUGUAGCGGUGAAAUGCUUAGAUAUUACUCAGAACACCGAUUGCGAAGGCAGCCCACUAAACUGCGACUGACGCUGAUGCACGAAAGCGUGGGGAUCGAACAGGAUUAGAUACCCUGGUAGUC